rnacentral:rRNA from 1 species
CCUACGGGAGGCAGCAGUGGGGGAUAUUGCACAAUGGGGGGAACCCUGAUGCAGCGACGCCGCGUGGGUGAAGGAGUGCUUCGGCAUGUAAAGCCCUAUCGGCAGGGAAGAAGCAAGACGGUACCUGACUAAGAAGCCCCGGCUAACUACGUGCCCGCAGCCGCGGUCAUACGUAGGGGGCGAGCGUUAUCCGGAUUCACUGGGUGUAAAGGGAGCGUAGACGGCCAGGAAAGACAGGGGUGAAAGCCCUGGGCCCAACCCCGGGACUGCCCUUGGAACUGCAUGGCUGGAGUGCGGGAGGGGCAGGCGGAAUUCCGGGUGUAGCGGUGAAAUGCGUAGAUAUCAGGAGGAACACCGACGGCGAAGGCGGCCUGCUGGACCGCGACUGACGUUGAGGCUCGAAAGCGUGGGGAGCGAACAGGAUUAGAUACCCUUGUAGUC